GUUUUUGAAUGAUGAGAUCAAAUAUUUCACAGUUAUCCCUGUCUGAUAGUUGUGUGCUGAAUACUUGUGAUCUGACACAAAC